GGUUCGAGUCCUGUUUUUUUAAGAG
rnacentral:tRNA from 1 species